rnacentral:rRNA from 1 species
AUGGCCACCCCAACCACGACGCCGGCGACGAUGCGGGCCGUGCAGUACGACGCCUGCGGCGGAGGCGCCGCCGGCCUCAAGCAUGUAGAAGUCCCCGUCCCUUCUGCAAAGAAGAAUGAGGUCCUGCUGAAACUGCAAGCUGCAACCAUCAACCCAGUUGACUGGAAGAUACAGAAAGGGGACUUGAGGCCUCUGCUGCCUCGUAGACUGCCUUUUAUCCCAGUGACUGAUGUUGCAGGAGUAGUUGUUGAUGUUGGUCCUGGAGUGAAAGGUCUCACAGCGGGUGAUCAAGUCGUCGCCAUGUUGAACUCUUUUAACGGAGGUGGACUGGCAGAGUAUGCUGUAGCAUCCGCAAACCUGACCGUCAAAAGGCCAGCUGAGGUUUCUGCAGCUGAGGGUGCUGGGCUUCCCAUUGCUGCAGGCACUGCGCUCCAGGCACUAAGGUCCAUUGGUGCCAAGUUUGACGGCACCGGCAAGCCAUUAAACGUGUUGGUCACCGCUGCCUCUGGCGGCGUAGGCCUGUACGCGGUGCAGCUUGCAAAGCUAGCGAACCUUCAUGUUACCGCCACCUGCGGCGCACGCAACAUGGAUCUUGUGAAGAGCUUGGGCGCAGACGAGGUGAUGGACUACAGGACCCCAGAGGGGGCGAGCCUGCAGAGUCCCUCCGGCAGGAAGUACGACGGCGUGGUUCACUGCACCGUCGGUGUCAGCUGGUCGUCUUUCCAGCCAUUGCUCAGUGAUGCCGGGCGAGUGAUCGAUAUCACCCCCAACUUCUCGGCCAUCCUCACAUCUGCGCUGCACAGGAUGACAUUUUCCAAGAAGCGCCUGGUGCCCCUGCUCCUGUCGCCCAACAAGGCGGACCUGGAGUUAUUGGUUGGGUUGCUCAAGGAAGGCAAGCUGAAGACGGUGGUCGACUCGAAGUUCCCGUUGAGCGAGGCAGACAAGGCGUGGCAGAGCAGUAUCGAUGGCCAUGCCACUGGUAAGAUUGUCGUUGAGAUGGAGAGCUGA